rnacentral:rRNA from 1 species
ACUUCGUAUACGACGAGUACGUAUCGGAUUAUUGGGCGUAAGAGCUCGUAGGCGGUUUGUACGUCUGCUGUGAAUCACGGGGCUCACCUUGGUUCUGCUUUGGGUAUGGGCAGACUAAAUUGGUCUAAGGGAGACUGGAUUUCCUGGGGUACCGUUGAAUUGCGCAAAUUUUGGGAGGAACACCGAUGGCGAAGGCAGGUCUCUGGGCUGUAACUGACGCUGAAGACCAAAAGCAUGGGGAGCGAACAGGAUUAAAUACCCUGGUAUCCCAUGCCGUAAACGUUGGGCACUACGUGUGGGGGACAUUCCACUUUUUCCGCGCCCUAACUAACGAUUAAGUGCCCCGCCUGGGGAGUACGGCCGAUGGCUAAAACUCGAGGAAUUGACGACCCGCCCGCACAAGCGGAGGAGCAUGAUUAAUUAAUUCGCAUGCAACGCGAACAACCUUACCAAGGCUUGACAUGAACCGGAAAGACAUGGAAACACGUGCUCCGCUUGCGGUCGGUUUACAGGUGCUGCAUGGUUGUCGUCAGCUCGUGUCGUGAGAUGUUGGGUUAAGUCCCGCAACGAGCGCAACCCUUGUUCUAUGUUGCUAGCGCGUGAUGGCUAAUACUCACUGGAGACUGCCGGGGUCAACUCGGAGGAAUGUGGGGACGACCUCAAAUCAUCUUGCCCCUUAUGUCUUGGGCUUCACGCAUGCUACAGUGGCCGGUACAACGGUUGCGAUAGUGUAAGGUGGAGCUAAUCCCAAAAAGCCGGUCGGAUUUCAGAUUGGAGUCUGCAGCUCGACCCCAUGAAUCUCGGAGUAAUCUAGGAUCGCAGAUCAGCGACGAUGCGGUGCACUACGUUUCGUAGACCUCGUACAUCCCACCAUGGAGUCGCGAUCGUCGGUAACACGUAACCCAGCGCCUGACGCUUGUGAGCGGGAGUCGUAUAAGGGCUAGCGGGGAAUUGUAUCAAGUAGCAACAAGGUAACACAA